GACGAACGCUGGCGGCGUGCUUAACACAUGCAAGUCGAACGGAAAGGCCCUGCUUGCAGGGUACUCGAGUGGCGAACGGGUGAGUAACACGUGGGUGAUCUGCCCUGCACUUCGGGAUAAGCCUGGGAAACUGGGUCUAAUACCGGAUAGGAGCCAUUUUUAGUGUGAUGGUUGGAAAGUUUUUUCGGUGUAGGAUGAGCUCGCGGCCUAUCAGCUUGUUGGUGGGGUAAUGGCCUACCAAGGCGGCGACGGGUAGCCGGCCUGAGAGGGUGGACGGCCACAUUGGGACUGAGGUACGGCCCAGACUCCGACGGGAGGCAGGAGUGGGGAAUAUUGCACAAUGGGCGCAAGCCUGAUGCAGCGACGCCGCGUGGGGGAUGACGGCCUUCGGGUUGUAAACUCCUUUCGCUAGGGACGAAGCUUUUUGUGACGGUACCUAGAUAAGAAGCACCGGCUAACUACGUG
rnacentral:rRNA from 1 species